rnacentral:rRNA from 1 species
GGAAACGCCCGGUUACAUUUCGAACCCGGAAGCUAAGC